rnacentral:piRNA from 1 species
UGUAUCUCCCUGGAUGGUCAUUUCACGUCUC